UACGUAGGGGGCUAGCGUUGUCCGGAAUCAUUGGGCGUAAAGAGCGUGUAGGCGGCCCGGUAAGUCCGCUGUGAAAGUCGGGGGCUCAACCCUCGAAAGCCGGUGGAUACUGUCGGGCUAGAGUGCGGAAGAGGCGAGUGGAAUUCCUGGUGUAGCGGUGAAAUGCGCAGAUAUCAGGAGGAACACCGAUUGCGAAGGCAGCUCGCUGGGACGUAACUGACGCUGAGGAGCGAAAGCUGGGGGAGCGAACAGGAUUAGAAACCCCGGUAGU
rnacentral:rRNA from 1 species